rnacentral:lncRNA from 1 species
AUGGAGAGCAUGAGGACAGCAGGCAGCCACACACUGCAGCCCUGCAGAGCUCGAGGCAGCGCUGAGCAGCACUGUGGUGAGGCAGACCCUGGCUGUGCAGAACUGAAAGAGAAACACGGGAACCAUCUGCACAACCUAAACCAAACUUCCCUCCUGCUGGCUCACAAACUGAAGGCACAUCAGCUCCAGCAGAAGCAGUGGCUGACAGUGCUGAGUGAGAAAGCCAAGCUGGAGCUUUGGGAAAGCCAGAGGUUUUUGAGUGACCUGCUUCAGAAUGACUUAAAGGUGAGCGAUUCCAGUUGAUGUGCUGCUGCUUCUGUAUUAAGCCAAACGUUCUCUGCAUUAUUUUUGUUAUGUUUUGUGAGCUGUGAGGAUGAGUGACACUCCCUACCCUCCAUACUCAGUUAUUGCACUGUCAGUUGUACCCAUCAAGAGUAAUAACUCUUCAGGAGUUAUUAUUGAAAUAAAUAUACGUGUAUCCAAGAGGAUAAGGGCA